AGCUUUGCACAGUGGCAGUAUCGUAGCCAAUGAGGUUUAUCCAAGGCGCGAUUAUUGCUAAUUGAAACUGAAGGAACAUCCCGAGAGCUAGGGCAACAUAAAUAUGUUUUGUGUUAGCCAACUACUACUGGGCAUGCGACCUGGCCACAAAUGU
ensembl:snRNA LOC120095802 U4 spliceosomal RNA